GUCCACGCCCUAAACGAUGUCGACUGGUUGUUGGGUGGGUAACCACUUAGUAACGAAGCUAACGCGUGAAGUCGACCGCCUGGGGAGUACGGUCGCAAGAUUAAAACUCAAAGGAAUUGACGGGGACCCGCACAAGCGGUGGAUGAUGUGGUUUAAUUCGAUGCAACGCGAAAAACCUUACCUACACUUGACAUGUCAGAAAUCCUGCAGAGAUGUGGGAGUGCCGCAAGGAAUCUGAACACAGGUGCUGCAUGGCUGUCGU
rnacentral:rRNA from 1 species